AAAAUACUCCCUCGGUUCCAAAUUACUUGUCGCAAGUAUGGAUGUAUCUAGAUGUAUUUUAGUUCUAGAUACAUCCAUUUCUGCGACAAGUAAUUUGGGACGGAGGGAGUAGAUG
rnacentral:pre_miRNA from 1 species